AAUAAGAGGUGGGAGGCAGCCUCACAAGUUAGCAAUGCAGGGAAUGUUACAAGGAGUUAGCUUCAGUAUGAAAAAAACAUUUGUUUAGAGGCAUGGGAUAGAAUCACUGAAAUGCUGAGACAACUGUUCCUUCUCCUCCCUUGAGCUAAGACCCUGAAAGCUGAACCAGUACCAUCUCCUUGGAGCACCUUCUGAGGGUCCCUCUAGCCUACAAAGUGUAGUCAAGUGGAAUUUGUGCGCUUUCCUGAUUCAGGCCCAAUCCAGUCUUCCUAUGCCAGCCACAGAGCAGUCCCAUACUCCCUUCUGCUCAAUCCUACCCUGCCUCUUCUGCCUGUGAGUAUCCUAUUCACUUGGCUUGGAUUACCUUUCUUGCUCAUCUGCAGUAGACUUUACCAAUGCUCCCUGCUAUCUGGAUCUCUUCCACGUUCAGAAGCGUACAGGUAGCAGACCAGCAAGUUAACUACAUAAUCACAUCUCUCAGUAGAACGUGACUACCAUUCCUGCAAGAACCUUAAACAAACACUUAUCACCAUCAAGAUGCCUAUUCUGGCAGAAGCCCAUUCCUCCAUCUGCAUGGAUGAUCAGAACAGAAAACAAUCCGGGAAUAUGUUGCUGUUUAGAAUUGGAGCAUCAAAAGCCAAUGCAGAAGAUACAGAAGGAGCAGCCAGGAAGAAAAUCAGGACAGUGGUGUUUCACAGAAACCUAGAGAGAAGAGAAUUUCACAGAAAAAUUAGCAGAGCAUGCCAACUACUGAUACUGAUUAGGGAAAUUUAGAAAUGUCAAAAAUCUUCUAACUCAGCCAUGAAGAGAUCACUGCUGAUUUUCUGUCAGGGAAAAACCCCAA
rnacentral:lncRNA from 10 species